UAAUCUUCACAAAUAUCAUCUGUAAUCCAUGAGACUUGCCACUGUUCCUAAGGACGAUUGUUAACCAUGGUGUUACUGAUCCAGUGGAAAGUACAUUUUAUAGAAACUUACCAGGGGUAUUUUGCGACACUGAAAUUUGAUGUCUAUUGUCUCAAUGUGGAAUGUUAAACCCAGCGAUUGGUGCUGAUGAGCGAAUGUGAACCAAUGAGCCAUCAGAGAUGAGACCCAACAGUCGCCAAAUCGCUUGUUGAGGAGAAAUUAGCAAAUGGAUCAAAUGAGGAAUGAGGUCAACCAAGAAUCACAGUGCUGUUCAUUUCAGACAUGGGAGCAGAAGACAAGAUUUCAGACUCAUACACACGGCGACCCCAUGCCCGACUUCAAAAAAACAGUGAUUCAUCCAGACACCAAAGCUCAGCAGCUCAGAGUCAACCUCAAAUAUAGUCAAAGCUCACCAAGUGCUCUCCCAAGAAAAAUAGAACAUAAGUGCCAGAUGACCUGCGGUAAAGACUCUUCUUCCAGAGAGUGGCUGGACUGUCCUGAUUUCAUCGCACCUACAUUAGCGUGUCAACAGGCCCUUGCAAUUCCCAACGAUCCCACUGGGCUUCUUUAUCAUUGA
rnacentral:lncRNA from 1 species